rnacentral:rRNA from 1 species
ACCCAAUAGAUACCCCGGUAGUCCACGCCCUAAACUAUGUCGACUGGUUGUUGGGGGAGUCUGUCCCUCAGUAAACGUAGCUAAACGCGUGAAAGUCGACCGCCUGGGGAGUACGGUCGCAAGAUUAAAACUCAAAGGAAUUGACGGGGACCCGCACAAGCGGUGGAUUAUGUGGAUUAAUUCGAUGCAACGCGAAGAACCUUACCUACCCUUGACAUGCCAGGAACCUCGCAGAGAUGUGAGGGUGCCCGAAAGGGAACCUGGACACAGGUGCUGCAUGGCUGUCGUCAGCUCGUGUCGUGAGAUGUUGGGUUAAGUCCCGCAACGAGCGCAACCCUUGCCAUUAGUUGCUACAUUCAGUUGGGCACUCUAAUGGGACUGCCGGUGACAAACCGGAGGAAGGUGGGGAUGACGUCAAGUCCUCAUGGCCCUUAUGGGUAGGGCUUCACACGUAAUACAAUGGCGCAUACAGAGGGCUGCAAACCCGCGAGGGGAGCCAAUCCCAAAAAAGUGCGUCGUAGUCCGGAUUGUUCUCUGCAACUCGAGA